rnacentral:rRNA from 1 species
AGUUGAUCCUGGCUCAGAACGAACGCUGGCGGCAGGCCUAACACAUGCAAGUCGAGCGAGGACUUCGGUCCUAGCGGCGGACGGGUGAGUAACGCGUGGGAACGUGCCCUUCACUACGGAAUAGUCCCGGGAAACUGGGUUUAAUACCGUAUACGCCCUUCGGGGGAAAGAAUUUCGGUGAAGGAUCGGCCCGCGUCUGAUUAGGUAGUUGGUGGGGUAACGGCCUACCAAGCCUACGAUCAGUAGCUGGUUUGAGAGGAUGAUCAGCCACACUGGGACUGAGACACGGCCCAGACUCCUACGGGAGGCAGCAGUGGGGAAUCUUAGACAAUGGGGGCAACCCUGAUCUAGCCAUGCCGCGUGAGUGACGAAGGCCCUAGGGUCGUAAAGCUCUUUCACCAGGNGAAGAUAAUGACGGUACCUGGAGAAGAAACCCCGGCUAACUCCGUGCCAGCAGCCGCGGUAAUACGGAGGGGGUUAGCGUUGUUCGGAAUUACUGGGCGUAAAGCGCGCGUAGGCGGACUGUUAAGUCAGGGGUGAAAUCCCGGGGCUCAACCCCGGAACUGCCCUUGAUACUGGCAGUCUCGAGUUCGAGAGAGGUGAGUGGAACUCCGAGUGUAGAGGUGAAAUUCGUAGAUAUUCGGAAGAACACCAGUGGCGAAGGCGGCUCACUGGCUCGAUACUGACGCUGAGGUGCGAAAGUGUGGGGAGCAAACAGGAUUAGAUACCCUGGUAGUCCACACCGUAAACGAUGAAUGCCAGACGUCGGGCAGCAUGCUGUUCGGUGUCACACCUAACGGAUUAAGCAUUCCGNCUGGGGAGUACGGCCGCCAGGUUAAAACUCACAGGCAUUGACGGUGGCCCGCACAGGCCGUGGAGCCUGUGCGUUUAUUCGAAGCAACGCGCAGA